GGGUGCCUUCCGGUUUGAUUUGGUGCACUUCCGGUUCAUUCUGGGUUCAUUGGGUGCACUUCAGGGUCAAUCCAAGAUGGCCGCCUCACCGGAAGUGGGGGUCAGGGGGGUGAAUAUGGUAAGCAUAAGGUGAACAAAGUGAAUAAAGUUGGAAUGGGUUGAAUCGGUC